CACUUUGCAAGCUGACAGGCAUCAUUGCAAGACAAGUUAGGGAGCAGGGUUCUUUUGAAGACCCUGACCUGGAGUUACACUCUGACUUCGGUUCUUUACAGGAAUGGGACCCACUCUCGGGGUCUCACAACUGGUCGCUAUUCGGACGUGGUCUAGAAGACUAGCGUGCCUUCAGGGUUCCGGGUUUUGUGGCUCUGGAGGUGGGCGGACUCCAGGUCGGUGCCUCUGCUGGAGGUCAGUGUGUUGUGGGAGACGGAAGAUCGAAAGCAGCGAGCUGGCUGCUGGCCGUGUGCCCAGAGCCCCGAGUUCUUUGGGUACAGAGCUCGGAAAAAGUGACGCAACAGACUUUUAACAUCGCAAAUCAGUGAAUUGUUUGUUAUGUCUCCCCUCUCACUGUGAAAUGGGGACACCUCUUUUUCCCUUAUUUGGGAGAGAGAGAGCCUGUAGUGUGUUGAAUUACCGGGUGAACAAGCAAUCUUUGGGGUACUGCAAGUCUGUGUCUUUAUUGAUGCUUUGCUGCACGCUGGAGUGCUUGGUGGGGGUUGAUGAUGCUUUUUUGCUGGUGGGGGAGAGGGGAUCAUUGCUUUACUGCUGCUUAUACAUGGGGGGGCUUUGGGGUUCUAACAUUUCACUGUCAUUCAUCCUUUGGGCCACUCCUCUGUUUUUGUGGAUGUUUACAAAGAAAAAGAAUUUCAGGAUGUAUAUUGUAUACAUUUCUCUGACAUUAAGUGUACCUUUGAACCUUUGCAAUUAAACUGAGAGGAACCAC